UACGUAGGGUGCGAGCGUUAAUCGGAGUUACUGGGCGUAAAGCGUGCGCAGGCGGCUUUGCAAGACAGAUGUGAAAUCCCCGGGCUCAACCUGGGAACUGCAUUUGUGACUGCAAGGCUAGAGUACGGCAGAGGGGGAUGGAAUUCCGCGUGUAGCAGUGAAAUGCGUAGAUAUGCGGAGGAACACCAAUGGCGAAGGCAAUCCCCUGGGCCUGUACUGACGCUCAUGCACGAAAGCGUGGGGAGCAAACAGG
rnacentral:rRNA from 1 species